rfam:Bacillus sp. SA1-12 scf7180000003383, whole genome shotgun sequence.
AUUAGAUAAAGGCAAACCUUUUGAAAAAUAGGGACGCAAAGCUCCAGGUCUAAGGUUUUAAACUAAGAUGGCUGAGCUGCCUAA